rnacentral:rRNA from 1 species
GAUGAACGCUGGCGGCGUGCCUAAUACAUGCAAGUCGAGCGAACAGAUAAGGAGCUUGCUCCUUUGACGUUAGCGGCGGACGGGUGAGUUACACGUGGAUAACCUACCUAUAAGACUGGGAUAACUUCGGGAAACCGGAGCUAAAACCGGAUAACAUAUUGAACCGCAUGGUUCAAUAGUGAAAGGCGGCUUUGCUGUCACUUAUAGAUGGAUCCGCGCCGUAUUAGCUAGUUGGUAAGGUAACGGCUUACCAAGGCAACGAUACGUAGCCGACCUGAGAGGGUGAUCGGCCACACUGGAACUGAGACACGGUCCAGACUCCUACGGGAGGCAGCAGUAGGGAAUCUUCCGCAAUGGGCGAAAGCCUGACGGAGCAACGCCGCGUGAGUGAUGAAGGUCUUCGGAUCGUAAAACUCUGUUAUCAGGGAAGAACAAAUGUGUAAGUAACUGUGCACAUCUUGACGGUACCUGAUCAGAAAGCCACGGCUAACUACGUG